CGCGCCCUGGGGCGCAGGCUCGGGACGCCGCCACCCCGCCUUAGCGGCUCCGGGCGUCCGGGCGAGGUGCGGGGAAUCGGCCCUCCAGGCCCGCGCUCGCUGCGUGACUUUGGGUGACCCUGCCCUUCUCGGCCUUGGUUUCCCCGUUUGCGCAGCGAAUGGAAUGAAAUGAGCAACUGUGGGAGCCCAUCUUUCUCUUGCGCUCUGAGGUUUCUUGAACCUGGAAAGUUUACAGAUGAGGAAAACUGAGGCCUAAGAGGAUGCUACUUGCUGAAUUCCUUCAACUCGUGACCACUCCCCUGCCAGCCCCCAAGUGGACUCACCCAGAAGGCUGAGGAAGGCCUGGAGCUCCUGAUGCUGGCGGAAACAGAGAGACUUGCUGCCCUCACCUUGACGGCUCCAGC